CUGGGGUAGGGGAGAGUGUGGGGGGGGAGAGUGGCGCGCGUGCUAUCACAGUUCGCUGCGCCUGUUUGCGCAGAGCAAGCGGAUUGCAGACACACGUGGGUCACGCGGGAGAGAUACAGACUCUGCAGACGGAGGUAUCGACGGGAGGGAGGCAGAGAGCGACGGAGAUCACGCUGAGCGGAUGAACGACAAACUCGGGCGGACACACACGCAGACGGGAUAGACAUACGCACUGGGACACACGUACACCGCACAGCAGACCAGACGGACACGCAGGCACAAACACGGAGUGAGCCACACACGGAGACUCAAACGAGGGAGAUACAGGCAGAGCCAGAGGGACUCACAAACGGAGACAGAAACCCCCAGAGCGGGACACAGGGAGACGGAGACGUAGAGACGCACAAAGGAACACACGCACGCGCACAGGCGCACGCACGCGGGCGCAUCGAGACGAAUACACGAAAGAGGAAGCUCACACGAGGAGACGCAGCGAGGGGGAGACGGAGGGAGAUAGAGGGACACCGAGAGGAAGGCACAAACGCACGCACACGGAGACACGCGGGAGGGGGUGACAGACGCAGAGCGAGGAGCGAUUUCCAUACAAUGACGGACAUGGAAUGAUGAGAGACUGCGAGCGCAUAUCGCGUGCAUCAAAUCCGCACUGUGAGCACCGCGUUCCGGACAGCACCAGCGCCAUGGCGUCCAGUCAGCAGCUUCACCAGCACUACCACCAGCAGCAGCAGGAUGGAGGAGACGUGGGUGCUGUGGAGGUGGACAUCCAUUAUGAGUCCCGCAAGCGGCCUCUGGAAGACGCGACGGAUCAAGGGGUGACUAGCAAGAGGAUUCACACCGACGAGGGGCAGUUCUACAUGAAGGUGCUCAUCCCCAGCUACGCCGCCGGCUCCAUCAUCGGCAAGGGUGGCCAGACGAUCGUGCAGCUGCAGAAGGAGACUGGAGCCACCAUCAAGCUCUCAAAGUCCAAGGACUUCUACCCGGGCACCACGGAACGGGUGGCGUUGAUUCAGGGCUCGCCCGAUGCCCUCAACUCUGUGCAUGACUUCAUCGCGGAGAAGAUCCGGGAGAUGCCCCCGAGUCCUGGCGAUCGUGGCGGCGGAGGUGGCGGCGGCUCCGGAGGAGGAAUGUUGGGUAACGGAGGAGCCCACGGCGAGAGCGACGGGGCCGUUGGGAGAUUCGAAGGCUCCGCGGGGCCCCUUCCUCCGCAGACGGCCGUCAGCUCCGACCGCAUGAAGCAGGCCAAGGUCAUCGUGCCCAACACGACGGCGGGCCUUCUCAUCGGCAAGGGCGGUGCCACCGUUAAGUGGAUCAUGGAGCAGUCGGGAGCCUGGGUGCAGCUGUCGCAGAAGCCGGAGGGCGGCAUGCUGGUGGCGGGCGGCGUGGUGGCGGCCGCCGCCGCCGCUGCGGCCGCCGCGGCCGCGGGCGGUGGGCCGCCCGGCGUGGCGCUUGGUGGCCUGCAGGAGCGCGUCGUGACGGUGAGCGGCGAGCGCGAGCAGGCGCGCCGCGCUGUGCAGCUCAUUGUGCAGAAGAUCCAGGAGGACCCGCAGAGCGGCAGCUGCCUUAACGUGAGCUACGCCGGCAUCACAGGGCCCGUGGCCAACGCCAACCCCACCGGCUCCCCCUACGCGGGCCCCACGCCCGGCGUGGGCCAGGCGGACGUGCUGCCCGCGGCCCUCACCGCCAGCCUCUUCGGCCACUCGGGCCUGGCGGCGGCGGCCGGCGUCUCGCCCUUCCAGACCGCCGUGCUCCCCACGUGCUUCGGCGGCACGGACCACCUGGUGGCCAUCUCGUCGGCGCUCAGCACGCUGGCGGGCUACGGCUACGGCCUGCCGUCCUCGGCCGCCGCCGGGGGACACCCGGGCCUGACCCUGGGCCUCACCAGCCCGGCCACGGCCGCGGCGGUGGCGGCGGCGCAGGCCCACGCGCACCACCACCACCACCACGCUCACCACGCCGCUCACCACCAUCACCACGGCGGCGGGGGCGGGGCUCCCGGCGCCGUGCCGCUCUCGGUGCCGUCCAUGCCCUCGGCGGCCGCGGCCGCUGCCGCCAUGCUGGGCUCCAACCUGGCGGCCGCCAACCUCCUGGCCGGAUACGGCGACCCCGCCUCCAUGGCCGGCGCGGCGCCGCCGGUGGGCGCCGGGUCGCCAUACCCCCUCGCCGGCAUCGCCCCCGUCGGCGCGGCCGGCGGGGGAGGCGGCUGCGGCGGCGGCGGCGGAGGCGGGGGGCCGUACGGCUCCUCGCCGCUCAUGGCCGGCGCACUCCUCGCCGCGACCACCGGUGGCGGCGGUGGCAGCAAGCACGGCCAUGCAGCCCCGGCGUCGGCCGAGCCCGACAAGGAUUCGGCGGCGGCAGCGGCGGCGGCGGCGGUGGCGUCCGGAACGGCGGUGGAGAUUAACGUGCCGGAGACGCUGGUGGGCGCCAUCCUGGGCAAGGGCGGGAAGACGCUGGUGGAGUACCAGGAGGUGACGGGCGCGCGCAUACAGAUCUCCAAGAAGGGCGACUUCGUGCCGGGCACGCGCAACCGAAGGGUGACCAUCACAGGCCCGCCGGCGUCCACGCACGCCGCGCAGUACCUCAUCACGCAGCGGCUGCAGUACGAGCAGGGCUUGCGGGCCGUCAACCCGCAGAAGGUCGGCUAGCGGAGGGCUGGCGCGCAGCCCGCGGCCCACAGCCCAUGGUACUGGAGGCGGUGGUGGUUUACAGGCGGACACGCACUCCUAGCGUCCACUACUCGUCGAACUUUCCCGUGCGGUAUUCUGGAGGAUUUGUGAAAACCCAUCGCUUCUCAGUGAAGGCCACCGCACUUUCUGGGAGGCUCAAGCGAGACACGCGUCGCCGCUGGCAGCCUCGCGUGAUGGGAGAGAGCGCGGGAUCGGAAUUAAAACAGAGAUGGGGAGCGCGCGCACGUGCCCGUGCGUUCAAAACAAGAAGCACUCCCCCCCCCUCCACCCCACGCGGGAGAGGGGAGUUUAGCAAUCAUGUGGCGCGUGCAGCGCGUGCAUGACGAGACGCUUAAACGCGGAAAAGAAUGCCGUGGGGUGGGCCACGCGGACUGGAGCUUGAGAAAAAUCUGCGCUAUUCAACGUUGAUAAGUAAAUAAACAAAGCAGUCAUCAUCGACAACACUGCCUUGUAACGUAAGUUGUAUGACAUAUAUGAGUUUGACGUUUCUGGGAAUGGCUCUCCUGCAAUGAAUCAGGGUGAUCGCCAGAAAUAUCAACGCGAACUUCAAUAUCUUUGUUGUUAUGCGGGCCAAUGUCCAACUACCAAUCAAUCAGUCUCGUCACUUUGCGGUCGCUGCAAUAAGUAACACAUGGGUAAGACAAAAAGUCAACCGGUGAUUGUUCUUUAGUUCGUCAAGGAAAAAGGACUGGUCCUCGGGCACAGGAACGCUGAGUUUCCACAAGAUCUUUCCACGGAGGCGAGCGGCACCCGGCACUCCAAUCUGAAGAUGGCGAGACUUGAAUUUGUGACUUUGAGCAAUCGCGCCUUCUCCGUUGAGGAGGUGGUUGGAGGGCAGCUGUCGGGGAAUAGACUUGUCUGCGGCUUUGUCGAAAUGAAAUGUAUAUAUAUAUUUGAAACAUCAUAUUUAUUUUUAUACCGAGACACCAAUGUUGAAAAUGAACGAUACAACUGUGGCAUGCCGUCGAUGUUCAUGUGGUGACAUGUUCAAGACAUGUGGUGACAUGUUCAAGAAAAUAAAUUGACCUCUUGUUCGUCUCUUCAUGCACAUAAUAAAUGGUUUAUUUGUUUACUUAUAUAAACUGUGCCACCUGCUCUAUCCACUGCUGGAUGAAUGUCUCCCCAUGCUGCGUCAGUCAUGGUGGGGAUGGGUGUGAUAGUUUGACCCAUAAUACUUCACGACGCUACUCAGUGAGGGUCGGUGAGAUGGAGGUGAAUAGGGACCGGUUCAGAUCGAACUUUGCCCCUGACGUGAGCUGUGGCUGGGAGUCCAACCCGGACCUCCGGGUUAAUAGCAUAGUUGUGCGAACCACUUCACCACCACUCCAUGUACGCAAACAUUUAUAUUUCUGUGACCCUUGGAGCCUUUUCAGACCACUAUCAUCCAGGGGAGUGCAGUGGCUAGAGAGUGCAGGGCCCACUUAGCAGUGAACCCAGCAGCUACCUGGGGUUGAUUCCCCGGCCAUGGCUGACAUCAGUGUAUGGAGUAGAUUUCUGAACACGACACCAACUCGCACUGCUCAGCACGGCGAAUAGUGAUCAAAC